AUACGUAGGGUGCGAGCGUUGUCCGGAAUUACUGGGCGUAAAGAGCUCGUAGGUGGUUUGUCGCGUCGUCUGUGAAAUUCCGGGGCUUAACUCCGGGCGUGCAGGCGAUACGGGCAUAACUUGAGUACUGUAGGGGAGACUGGAAUUCCUGGUGUAGCGGUGAAAUGCGCAGAUAUCAGGAGGAACACCGGUGGCGAAGGCGGGUCUCUGGGCAGUAACUGACGCUGAGGAGCGAAAGAAUGGGUAGCGAACAGGAUUAGAUACCCUGGUAGUCCAUGCCGUAAACGGUGGGGGCUAGGUGUAGGGGUCUUCCACGACUUCUGUGCCGUAGCUAACGCAUUAAGCGCCCCGCCUGGGGCGUACGGCCGCAAGGCUAAAACUCAAAUGAAUUGACGGGG
rnacentral:rRNA from 1 species